AUGUCUGCAGGUCGCUCUCAGCACACGGCUACCUCGAGCAUGCGGCGCCGGCAAGAGGCCGAGCGCGCCGUGGCAGAGGAGCGUGAGCGAGCGGCUGUAGCAGCGGCUGCUGCGGCGGCAAGAGUGUCGAGGCUGGCUGCAGCGGAGCUGGCAGCAGCCAGAGCGGAGGUAGAAGCAGCCAGGGCGGAGGUUGAAGCAGCAGCAGCAGAAGCAGCCCGUGAGGCUACGGAGGAUGCCAAGGCACUCCGCGGCAGCCCCGGCAGCUCCAGCAGCUCCGCGCCUGCGGACGAAGGCGCCGACGCAGAUCGCGCCAAAGUGGCGCAGGAGCGGACGGCGCAGUGGGCAGCCGAGCACGCCCGCGCUCCAGGUGGAGGCGCGCACCGCGACGGCGGCUGCAACGACCAGGACCGCGGCCUCUACGAGGUCCGGACUGUGGUCAGGGAUGUUGGUUCCAGUGUUGGGUGGCCUACCCUCACUAAAACCAACUACGUCGAGUGGGCCGGGAUCAUGAAGGUCAGGCUCCAGGUGCGGCGCAUGUGGGAGGCAGUCCAGGACAGCAACGUCGACCACCUAGAGGAUUGA
rnacentral:rRNA from 1 species